UCAGAAUCCAUGAUGAUUGCAUAGUUCAGCAGAUAACUGUGACGAUGUGUCUUUCGCUCCUAUCUGAUUUACU